GCUAAUGGCCGCUCCAGCGGGAAAGUUCCCUACGAUCCUCUUUUGUUGCCAGUUCAGCGAGUCCAGGUGGUUGAGUAUCAGAGUGUUCCAUCUCGUUUCCCUUUGGGGGUCUCGCUGUAUAGCUCAGGCUGUCCUCGACCUCACUGUGCAGGCCAGGCUUGUAUGGAAUUCAGGGCGAUCUUCCUGCCUCAGUCUCCCUAGUGCUGGAAUUAUAGGCCUUCAUUUCCAUAAGCUACUCAUUUACAAGAACUGUACUUCUAACUUCACAUUCGUGCUUGAAUCUGAACAGCCUUUGGAAAGUGCAAGACUUGAACUACCCUUGAAGUCUACAGGUUUCUAUUUCACUCAUUGCUAUAAUUGCGAGUAUUGCAAUGACGGAGGACUUGACGAUGUAGAAAUAGACUUGAGACAUCCUGUAAUUGAAGAGAAGCUACAAGAUGGGACUGUAUGUUUUAUGGUGCCAGAGCUUUGCCUCUGUAAUAGCCAGCAAUACACUGCAUGAGAACCACUUUUUGUGGGAGUCUGUUGGUCUUCCCCUUUUCCUCAGUUCAGUUUUGUUUCCUCUUGUCCCCUUGAGACAUCACUGAG
ensembl:lncRNA